UGAAUAGCUCAGUUGGUAGAGCAUGAGACUCUUAAUGUCAGGGAUGUGGUUCGAGACCCGCGUUGGGCAA